UCCUACGGGAGGCAGCAGUGGGGAAUUUUCCGCAAUGGGCGAAAGCCUGACGGAGCAAUACCGCGUGAGGGAAGACUGCCUAUGGGUUGUAAACCUCUUUUUUCAGGGAGGAAUCAAUGACGUGUACCUGAAGAAUAAGCAUCGGCUAACUCCGUGCCAGCAGCCGCGGUAAGACGGAGGAUGCAAGUGUUAUCCGGAAUCACUGGGCGUAAAGCGUCUGUAGGUGGUUUAAUAAGUCAACUGUUAAAUCUUGAGGCUCAACUUCAAAAUCGCAGUCGAAACUAUUAGACUAGAGUAUAGUAGAGGUAAAGGGAAUUUCCAGUGGAGCGGUGAAAUGCGUAGAUAUUGGAAAGAACACCGAUGGCGAAAGCACUUUACUGGGCUAUUACUAACACUCAGAGACGAAAGCUAGGGUAGCAAAUGGGAUUAGAUACCCCAGUAGUCCUAGCCGUAAACAAUGGAUACUAGAUGUUGAACAGAUCGACCUGUGCAGUAUCAAAGCUAACGCGUUAAGUAUCCCGCCUGGGAAGUAUGCUCGCAAGAGUGAAACUCAAAGGAAUUGACGGA
rnacentral:rRNA from 1 species